rnacentral:rRNA from 1 species
UACGGGGGGGGCAAGCGUUGUUCGGAAUUACUGGGCGUAAAGGGCGCGUAGGCGGCUCUUCAAGUCAGGGGUGAAAUCCUGGAGCUCAACUCCAGAACUGCCUUUGAUACUGAAGAUCUUGAGUUCGGGAGAGGUGAGUGGAACUGCGAGUGUAGAGGUGAAAUUCGUAGAUAUUCGCAAGAACACCAGUGGCGAAGGCGGCUCACUGGCCCGAUACUGACGCUGAGGCACGAAAGCGUGGGGAGCAAACAGG